rnacentral:lncRNA from 1 species
GGUCACAAACACUCUUAAUUCUACCCCUACCCCCCAAUCCCACAACGACGCCAAUUGAACGUCAAGCCACCUCACAACAACCACCACUGCAACCAUUAUCACCACCUCACUAUCACCACUUGCACCACCACCACCAUCAUUUACAAAACACCAACAACAGCCAACAAAAAUCAACCUGAGUUGUUGGGUGACCUUAUAAAUUGGUACUGCUUUCCUCCUGUGAUUGUUCUCUUUGGCUGAACUCGGCCAAGCAACACAUCGGAGGAGGAAAGCACACCAAAAUCGUG